UACAGAGGUGGCAAGCGUUGUUCGGAAUUACUGGGCGUAAAGGGCGCGUAGGCGGCCAUCUAAGUCAGACGUGAAAUCCCCCGGCUUAACCUGGGAACUGCGUCUGAUACUGGACGGCUCGAGUUUGGGAGAGGGAUGCAGAAUUCCAGGUGUAGCGGUGAAAUGCGUAGAGAUCGGCAGGAACACCCAGGGGGAAACCAGUCGACUGGGCAUCUACUGACGCUGAGGUGGCGAGAGCGUGGGGAGCGAACCGG
rnacentral:rRNA from 1 species